AGGGAAUCGGGUUAAUAUUCCCGAGCCGACGCGUGGAUGGUGGGCGGCGACGCGUACGAACCCGGAGACGCCGGCGCGGGCCCCGGGAAGAGUUCUCUUUUCUUCUUAACUGCCUCGUGCCCUGGAAUCGGUUUAGCCGGAGCGAGGGCUGCACGGCAGGCAAAGCACCCUAAGUCUUGGGGUGUCCGGCGCGCCCGCGACGGCCCGUGAAAAUCCGGGGGAGCGGUUCGUUCUCACGCUCGGUCGUACUCAUAACCGCAUCAGGUCUCCAAGGUGA
rnacentral:rRNA from 1 species